rnacentral:rRNA from 1 species
CGCGAGAGUAAGCUAAUCUCUUAAGCCGUCUCAGUUCGGACUGUAGGCUGCAACUCGCCUACACGAAGUCGGAAUCGCUAGUAAUCGCGGAUCAGCAUGCCGCGGUGAAUACGUUCCCGGGCCUUGUACACACCGCCCGUCACACCAUGGGAGUUUGUAACGCCCAAAGUCGGUGGCCUAACCUUUAUGGAGGGAGCCGCCUAGGGCGGGACAGAUGAUUAGGGUGAAGUCGUAACAAGGUAGC